GCAUCUGAAGGAAAGCGUCUGUCGCCACCGCAUCCGGGUCUGGUCUCCAACUGUAAAAGUACGGUAACUGAGUGUUCAGGCGGGAUGCGAAAAAGUCUAUCACAAACCAACCCCAUAACCUGUCUAGACUCCAAAACACCAAAACGUGUAAGUGCCAAACUCCAGAGUCUCGUAAAUGUCUGGAGUUCCAAUCCACACUCGAAUUGUCCAGACCUGGAAUGUGUUCCACUGUCAUGGAGAC